ACUGAGUGGCGGACGGGUGAGUAACGCGUGGGUAACCUGCCCUGUACAGGGGGACAACAGUUAGAAAUGACUGCUAAUACCGCAUAAGCGCACAGGACCGCAUGGUCCGGUGUGAAAAACUCCGGUGGUACAGGAUGGACCCGCGUCUGAUUAGGUAGUUGGCGGGGUAACGGCCCACCAAGCCGACGAUCAGUAGCCGGCCUGAGAGGGUGAACGGCCACAUUGGGACUGAGACACGGCCCAAACUCCUACGGAAGGCAGCAG
rnacentral:rRNA from 1 species